rnacentral:rRNA from 1 species
GACGUAGGGCGCGAGCGUUGUCCGGAUUUAUUGGGCGUAAAGAGCUCGUAGGCGGCUUGUCGCGUCGGCUGUGAAAACCCGCGGCUCAACUGCGGGCUUGCAGCCGAUACGGGCAGGCUAGAGUUCGGUAGGGGAGAGUGGAAUUCCUGGUGUAGCGGUGAAAUGCGCAGAGAUCGGGAGGAACACCAAUGGCGAAAGCAGGUACCUGGACCAUUACUGACACUCAGCUGCGAAAGCUAGGGGAGCAAACAGG